CAUAUCUCAUUUCUCUCUUCUGCUCCUGACUCUCUUCUUUGAAACCCCUAGUGAAACUUCAUCUUCAAUAAUCGACAGCCGUGAAACCAUCACAGAAACCUCUCAAUCAUCUUCAAUAAUCUUCAAUCAUCGAUCAGUGGUUUGAAGUACUGAAGAAUUUUGAAAAAUUUCUACCAAUUUAGAAGGGUUUGUGUUGCUCAUCAGAAUUAGAACUUUGAAGAUGGAAAUACUUCAUACUAGAUUACCAAAAAUAAAAAGUUUGUGCGUGAAUGUAAAGCCAGACGUGGCCUUAGGUUUACGGAAGUCUUCCUCAACUUAUUCGAGAAAAUUUCUAUAUGAGGACAUUGAUUUGUUUCUUUUUGUUUCAGAGGAAUUGAACAUGAUCAGGAAAUUUUGAGGGAAUACUGUUCUAUUGCACUAUUACAGGAGUCAAACUACCCAGGGAAUUUGGGUCGCAAAGUGUGUAGGUAUUGAGCCUUGCACGAUUGCCAUGGAUUUGGAGGGAACUGAUAGAAGAGAAAGAGGGGAGAUGUUACAACAUUUCAGAAGCAAAGUGCUCUUUUUGCUUUGGUGAUUUCAGACUUUGUACUGAUAAACAUGCGGUGUCAUGAUAUCGGUAGAGAGAAGUCUGCCAACAGGCCUCUUCUUAAAACAGGUUUUCAGGUUAUGAUGCGCUUCUUUAGUACUCACAAAACAACUUUGCUACUAGUCAUUCGUGAUAAAACAAAGGUUUUUUUUUUUGGGAAGUAAUUGCUGCACUUUCCAUGUAGAAACAUUACAGUUUUCAUGCAAAAUUGAUACUGCUUGACAUUGUCCUUUUAGACUGCAAUGGAGCAUUUGGAACCUGUUUUAAGAGAGGAUAUACAAAAGGGUAUUAUUUUCUGUACUGCACGACAUUUCCCUUAAAGUCGUGUCAUCACUUUUGAUGUUCCUAAGCCCGAGGCUCACAAGGAUACUCCUCCCAACGAGUUUCUUAAUAAUUGAUACCUUGAAAGUGGUGUUUGGGUCUAUGUAGCUUGACCUCAGAUGAGGUAUCUAGCAUGCAAACUGUUUUGGUAUGAUUCAGGUCUGGGAACCUUGUUUGCAUAUCUAGUAUGCA